GCGCAUUUCGUUGGUUAAAUUUUUCAAACGAGUCAAACGCUGUUCCAAAGCACCCGGUUCGCUGCUCAAAGUGGCGUGCGAUCGAACGGCGAGCGCAAGUAAAUUACUGUACUGCUGUAAAGUGAAUUCAGGUCCAUUUUCGACGACUGAAUUUAAAAUAUCGUCCGGUGAUUUGUAAAGCAGUUGAUAAAAUUUUCUCGCCUGAUCCAAAUCGGCUUCACGUUCUCCGGUCAAAUUUGACAAACACUGUUGUAUUGUAUAAAUAUCUCGGCAGAUUCUUUUUUUGCCUGCGUCGUUGAUUCGAGAAAUAUUCUGACAUGCGGAUAUGAAUAUUGCUGCAAUCAAAUGACCCAAUCCAUCGAAUAUAUAUUUCAAUUUGUACGGUUGAAAGAAUCCCGAAAGAGCAUCGUGCAUUUGCAUUAAAUCUUUGUUCAAAUGGAUUACUUGUUGGUCAAUUUGUUGAUUGGAUCCGACAAAAGCGGUUAGCUGAAAAAGUGGCAGCAAAUGAUAGAAGCAAUGAACGCGAACUUCUAGGUGAAGCAUCAGCAAACAGUUGGCGGCCAGCUGGUCCACACUUUGCAGACAGUGCAUGAAGUGACCAUAAAGUGACGACGGUUCUGUGAUCGCUUCUGACUGUAGUUCUGCUUGAGCAUCGUCUGCAUGAUCAUCGACAAUCCGCCUGCUGGCUGCUGCUGCUGCUGCUGCUAUUGUUUACUUGCUGUUGUUGUGUGUUGUUGUACACACACACCCACACAAUUCUGUGUGCAGUUGUCGUAUGUUUUCGAAAGGGAAUCCGGUUGAUAUUCCGGAACCGAGUAACGGAGACAAAGAGUAGCGCUUUAAUCUUCCGGUUGGCGUUCAACUCAAUCGCGCGGUAACGCAAGCGAACUCGGAAAAUGACCGUCGUGAGUUUCGAAAAGAGUUUUCUUUUCUUUUUAAGGGACGCAUUCCCUGGAACCGGGUUGUCCGGAGAUAGGGAUUCUGGUAUCCAUAAAACGCCGACUCUUUCACGGUGUUCGGAGCGCUCUCGUCGGUACGUGAAAAUCCGAGCGACGCCUGGUAAAUCUCGUACUUGGUCGUACUGAUAUCCGCAGCAGGUCUCCAAGGUGAAUAGCCUCUGGCCGAUAGAAUAAUGUAGGUAAGGGAAGUCGGCAAAACGGAUCCGUAACUUCGGAACAAGGAUUGGCUCUAAGGGCUGGGCCGAUCGGGCUGAGGUUUCAAGCGUGCAGUGUAUGCUUGGCUGAGCUGUGCUGAGGAUUGAUUAGCUUGGUGCCGUUUGUUGACCCAAGCGGCUGUCCAGGUGGUCAUGUCUGAAGCAAAGCUGGCCGACAGACCGGCACGUGCAGAACCUGAGCUGCGCGGCUGUCAGUUUAUUUGUACAGACCGUUUCGGUCGGCAUUCAACAGCCAACUUAGAACUGGCACGGACACAAGGAAUCUGACUGUAUAAUUAAAACAAAGCAUUGCGAUGGCCGAUGAUCGGUGUUGACGCAAUGUGAUUUCUGCCCAGUGCUCUGAAUGUCAAAGUGAAGAAAUUCAACCAAGCGCGGGUAAACGGCGGGAGUAACUAUGACUCUCUUAAGGUAGCCAAAUGCCUCGUCAUCUAAUUAGUGACGCGUAUGAAUGGAUCAACAAGAUUCCUUCUGUCCCUAUCUACUAUCUAGCGAAACCACAGCCAAGGGAACGGGCUUGGCAAAAUCAGCGGGGAAAGAAGACCCUGUUGAGCUUGACUCUAGUCUGACUCUGUGAAGAGACAUGAAAGGUGUAGCAUAGGUGGGAGGCUGCAGCCGGGCACUGCUUGCGCGGUGUCUCUGUGGUCGCCAAUGAAAUACCACUACUUUGAUCGUUUCUUUACUUAUUCGGUAAAGCGAAAAAAUUGUGGCCAAUUUUGCGGUCUCGCCGCUGUUGGUCAUUGUUUUAAUGUUGGAUUGAAGCUUCGUUUGUAGCCGUCGUUUUGUGUCGCCGUUUGACGUGCAUUCGCAGUGGUGUGGGUUUCUUGGCUCGCGCGCGGCUAGUGUCGUCAACAGCGGACGACCGGCGAUUGGUUUGAAGUGAUUCGCUCCGGAAACAGUGUCAGACGGGGAGUUUGACUGGGGCGGUACAUCUGUUAAACGAUAACGCAGGUGUCCUAAGGUAAGCUCAGCGAGGACAGAAACCUCGCCUAGAGUAAACGGGCACAAGCUUACUUGAUUUUGAUUUCCAGUACGAAUAAAAACCGCGAAAGCGUGGCCUAUCGAUCCUUUUGAUUGUGUAGAUUUCACGCAAGAGGUGUCAGAAAAGUUACCACAGGGAUAACUGGCUUGUGGCAGCCAAGCGUCCAUAGCGACGUUGCUUUUUGAUCCUUCGAUGUCGGCUCUUCCUAUCAUUGCGAAGCAGAAUUCGCCAAGCGUUGGAUUGUUCACCCACCAAUAGGGAACGUGAGCUGGGUUUAGACCGUCGUGAGACAGGUUAGUUUUACCCUACUGAUGACAAGUCGUUGCGAUAGUAAUCCUGCUCAGUACGAGAGGAACCGCGGGAUCAGACAUUUGGUUCAUGCGCUCGGCUGAAAGGCCGGUGGCGCGAAGCUAGCAUCUGCAAGAUUAUGACUGAACGCCUCUAAGUCAGAAUCUUUUCUAGUCAUUGGCAACGAUAAGUUGCGUCCGGACUCGAUGCGAGGAAACGACUAGGCUUUGUUGU
rnacentral:rRNA from 1 species